UUACUUGACUUCCAGUAUCUUCUAAAUCUUCCAUUAGACAAAUGUUGGCUUCUUCAUCUGAAUCACUUGAGCUUGUUGAACUGGAAGCAUUGUCUUCCCAAGCUAUGUAAGCUUUCUUUUUCUUUUGGAAUUUACUUUCCUUCUUUUCUUCAUUUUUUCUGUUCUUUGGACAUUCAGAUUUCACGUGUCCUCUUUCUCCACAACCAAAGCAUUUUACACUUGAAGGAGAAUCUUNAUUUUCUCUCCUUUCUUUGCGGAAUUUGUCUUUU
rnacentral:lncRNA from 1 species